ACCUAUUCCAACUGACCCACAUACCCUCAACCUUGUACACUGUUUUCCCCUUGCAGGUAUGAAGACCUAUUCCAACUGACCCACAUACCCUCAGCCUUGUACACUGUUUUUCCCCUUGCAGGUAUGAAGACCUAUUCCAGCUGACCCACAUACUCUCAGCCUUUUACACUGUUUUACCCCUUGCAGGUAUGAAGACCUAUUCCAACUGACCCACAUACCCUCAGCCUUGUACACUGUUUUGACCCUUGCAGGUAUGAAGACCUAUUCCAACUUACCCACAUACCCUCAGCCUUGUACACUGUUUUGACCCUUGCAGGUAUGAAGACCUAUUCCAACUGACCCACAUACCCUCAGCC